GGGAGGGGAGGAGAAAGUAGGCGAGAGGAGCACGCGAGCGGCGGCCGCUGGGGCCUGUCUUCGCCUGAGCUUUGAGGCCUGGGUUUGGAACAGGGAUCACAUGCUGGGCCUCCGUAUACUGAGAGCCUUUGCUGUCAGUGACCACAGAAAGGCUGGAGUGGGCGCCCGGGCCAGCACUAGGCUCAAUCAACAGUUACUUUUGUCAUCAAGCACGGGCCUCAGGAGUCUGGAGUAAAAUGGGCAGAAAGAGCCAGAAUAUGAAAACUUCUUCGAGGGACGCCUUCAGAUUGAUGGAGGCAGGAAGACAGAUCAGGCCGGACCUCAUCUCCGAGAAUGUCCCUCAGCGUCGGUGUGCCUGACAUUUUCUCCUGAGGAGAUUGAGCUUAUGGAUCAGGGGACGUUGACCACAGAGGAGAGAAGUUGAGCUCCAGUCCUUCUAUUCCUCCAUCUUAAUCCAAGAUCGCUGGAAGUUGUUGCUGAACAAGGAUGAGACCCAGAUGUCCCAGCUCCAAUCCUGGCAAAGGAGGACCCAGGGCAGCGUCCGCUGUCCUUAGAUAUUCGCAUGGCUGGGAGAAGCCACAGAAAUUGGCUGGAGAAUGUUUGCAGACCUGGGUCAUCAUCUGAACCACUUGCUGAGCUCUAAAAACAGGGAUCCCUGGGCUACCAUUCUUUGGAGGAACUAAUGAGGUAGGUCUGGGGUGGGACUGAGAGUCUAUAUGGUCACCGAGCUGCCCUGGGAUGGGGAAGCUGUGAUCCAGCCAUGUACCUCGAACCACACAGGUGAAGAGACACAGGGGUUUGAUCCGUCCUUCUGGGUCCGUCUUCAGUGACUCCUCUGCCUGCACCCUUUCUUCCUGAGAUCACCUGGUCCCAUGUUUCUUCCUUUGUCCCCACACUGAGCUCAGGCUCUCCUGUGGCAUCAGUUUGUGGAUACCAUUCUCUGCCCUUUUAGGCUAGGGGCUUUCAAAGGCCAGAUUCAGGGGCACAGUUGGGUCUCCCCACCAAAGGCCACUCCUGGUUCUACAUCCAUGGAGGACCGGGCAGCUGCGCCAUAGGUGGGAGGUGUGGCUUUGACUUCUACAUGGCUCCUCCCUGGCUGGGGGCACCCAGGAGAACCAUUUAACAGUGCCUCUCCCUCCCCUAUCCAAGGCCUCAAUCUCCUCAUCUAUAUUAUGUGGCUUGUCUUCCUCGUCCCAUAAAAUUGUUAUGGGGCCCAGAGAGGUAAUAGUCAUAAAAGCACUCUGUAAGUGGGGGACACUGUGCAGAUGCAGAUGGGGCUCUUAGAUGUUUAAUAAUUCUAGUUGGCACAGAACCAGCAGGGUGUGCAUUCAGCCCAUACUUGGGACAUUGUGUCUUACACUUUCCAAACUACUUCCCAAGGCUGUUGACUUCCCCUGUCAACGUGGAUGUUGGGCUUAGGGUGACCAACACUGAAAGUGCUGUGGGAAACCCCUCAGUCCUGGGCGAAUUAGUUACUUGCUCACUCUGGUUAGGCCUGACUCAGGAACUGAGAUUUUGCUGACUGCCACAAGGUGAUUAAUCAUCUGCAUGCCAGGGAAGGUCCUAGAAGGGCAGGAAAUUAGGGGAGUGGGCUUUUGGCAUCCUGCCAAGGCCCCUUUCCUCCCGGCUAGGACCCCCCAGCUCCACUCCCAGGACCCUUCUUUUGGCCUCUGUUGAGUUGACUUGGAGCCCAAUCUAAGCCUUUAUUUAGAACUUGUCCACUUUUCUCCAUCUCCUCCUCCCUCCCAUGUCUGAGCCACUAUCACUUCUCACCUGGAGGCAACUGCUGAACUUGUCCACCUGUUUCCACUCUGGCCCUCAUCAAAUGCACCCUCCAUGGUCUACAGCAACAACACACCGAUUGCCUUAAAAUGCCAGUAUGAUCACGUAGUCUAUGCCUAAAUUUUUUAAUGGCUACCUCAGUCCUCUUAGGACACUGAACAAACUCCUUAGCUGGCCUGCAAGGCCAGCCCCUUGUCCCUCCUCCACUAUGGUCUUAGCUCUUGCCCCUCCCCCUUGCUCACCUUCUUCCUGCUUUGGGGUCUGAUUCUUGGAAUGCUCUUCCUCCUGCUUAGCCUGGCCAACUCCACUCCUCUCCAGGACCCAGCCCCAACAUCACUUCCUCAUGGAAGCUUUCCUUAGCCUUCCUGAUUGGUCUGGUUUUACCUGAACUUCCUCAUAGCACUUAACACAAAUGUAAUUCUGAUUUGUAUGUGUGUGUAACUACUUGUUGUCUGUCUUCCUAUAAGGCUGUAAACUUAGUGAGGGUAGGAAACAUAUUUUUCUUGUUCCCAGCUGCAUUCUCAGCAAUUCGCACAAUACCCAGGAUAUAAUAGCUGCUCCAUAAAUAUUCUUAGAACAAAUAAAUGAAUGGAUGAUUGAAUGUAUUAUCAGAUGGAUAGAUGGAUGAAGGUUGGAAGGGGUGAAUGGAGGGUAGAUUAUGAUUGGAUUGUGGUUGGAAAGAUAAAUGGAAUGAAUGUGGGUAAUUGGAAGAAUAAGUGGUUAGAUGAGUGGAUGGAUGAGAUGGAUGGUUGGAUGGAAGUGCAGUGGUCAGGGCCUCCUGAGACCCUUCCUGGCUCCCUGUCUCAUCCUCAUUCCAUUUGUGCUCUUGUUUUGUCCUCAUCAACAGUAAUAGCUACCAGCACUCCUGGCAAAGGGGACACACCUUUCCCCAUGUCUUUGGAAAGAUGGUUGCCUCAAGGAGGCAGCAGAGUAGUUGGCAGACCCCAACCUGCUCUGACCUCUUUUUAACCAAAUUCUACUCCAUGUUAGGAUCACUUGGGUGUUUUCUAGGAAUAUGGCCCUCAGUAGCUGCUGAGGUUCUGAGCUCUCAUCCCCUGGGCUGGGACCUCCUAGGUCAGAUUCUGCAAUGUGAAUGGCAGAAGCCAGUUGUUGGUGCUGGUGCCUUAGCCCCAAACACCCUGAGCCCUACUUAUCCCCUAAAGCAGAGGUUAGCAAAUCUUUUCCACACAGGACCAGACAGUAAAUAUUUAGGCCUUAUAGACCAUAUGGUCUUUGUUGCAACUACUCAACUCUGCUUUUGAAGCAUGAAAGCAGUCGUAGAGAAUAUAUAAAUAAGAGUGACUGUGUUCUGAUAAAACUUUAUAAAAGCAGGUACAUUUGGCCCAGAGGAUAUAGUUUUCUGACUCCUUCCUUAGAGUAGUAGCUUUCAAAGUGUAGUCUUUGGAUCAAAAGCAUUAGCAUUACCUGAGAACUUAUAUGUAAUACAGGUUCUUGGGCCCUGCUCUAGACCUAAUGUAUCAGGACAAAUAUUUUCUGUUUGUACCCCACUUCCUUCUGGGACUCCAAUUACAUAUAUGUUAGGCUGCUGAAAAUUGUUCCAGAGCUCAUUGAAUCCCUUUUAAUUUUUUUUUUCUUUAAUUUGUUUCAUUUUAAAUAAUUUCUACUGCUGUCUUCAAGUUCACUAAUCUUUUCUUUUGCAGGGUCUGAUCUUCCAUUAAUCCCAUCUAGUAUUGCUUUUUAGUCUGAGACAAUGUAGCAUUCAUCUCUAGAAGUUUGAUUUUGGUCUUUUAAAAACAUUCCCCAGGAGUUCCCAUCAUGGCGCAGUGGUUAACAAAUCCGACUAGGAACCAUGAGGUUGCGGGUUCGGUCCCUGCCCUUGCUCAGUGGGUUGGGGAUCUGGCGUUGCCGUGAGCUGUGGUUUAGGUUGCAGACGUGGCUCGGAUCCCACGUUGCUGUGGCUCUGGCGUAGGCUGGUGGCUGCAGCUCCAAUUCGACCCCUAUCCUGGGAACCUCCAUAUGUCACGGGAGCGGCCCAAAGAAAUAGCAAAA
rnacentral:lncRNA from 1 species